AAAAAAAAAAAAAAAAAAAAGAAAAAGGAGCUUGACUCUAAAUCUCUAAAUCUUGGAGUCUGGAUGCACUAUUCAUGUGAUAGGCUAAAAUAACUACUAAUACCUUAUGUUCAAACAGCACUUUAUGAAGUGAUUACACAUAAAAGAUCUUUUUUGAUAUAACUGUUAUACGGCAUAUCUUCCAUUUUAUAGACAGGGCAACCUGUCUCAAUGAUCCAUAAUGUUGCUACCCUGGUGCCAGAUGGAUAUGAUAGAAGGCUCCUAAAAGGCUCUUGGUUUGAGGAAAGUGUUGCUUACAUACAACAGGAAUCUUGUGGGAUUUAAGAAGUGGGGAGAUGUGGAAGUGUAGCCACUCUCUUUUUCAUUCUACCAGUUGCUAUUUCAAUCUUUUUCAAGAGAAGGCUAAAAUUUUAAGAGAAGGCUAAAAUUUUAUGUAACUAUCAAGGAGAGGAACAAAAUUAUGGCUUUUAAUGCUCCCUUUGGGAAGGUCAAGAAUUUGGAGCUUUUAUAUUUCUCUUUCUUCUUAAUUUAGGUCUUGAUCAAUAUAACUGGAGCCUGUGGGGUAUGUGUGUAUAAAAUAAAGU
rnacentral:lncRNA from 1 species